rnacentral:rRNA from 1 species
UACAGAGGUGCCAAGCGUUGUUCGGAUUUACUGGGCGUAAAGGGUGCGUAGGUGGUUGGGUAAGUCAAAUGUGAAAUCCUACAGCUUAACUGUAGAACUGCAUUCGAAACUACCCGGCUAGAGUACUGGAGAGGAGAUCGGAAUUCUCGGUGUAGCAGUGAAAUGCGUAGAUAUCGAGAGGAACACCAGUGGCGAAGGCGGAUCUCUGGACAGUUACUGACACUGAGGCACGAAAGCUAGGGGAGCAAACGGG